UACGAAGGGGGCUAGCGUUGUUCGGAAUUACUGGGCGUAAAGCGCACGUAGGCGGAUCGAUCAGUCAGGGGUGAAAUCCCAGGGCUCAACCCUGGAACUGCCUUUGAUACUGUCGAUCUGGAGUAUGGAAGAGGUGAGUGGAAUUCCGAGUGUAGAGGUGAAAUUCGUAGAUAUUCGGAGGAACACCAGUGGCGAAGGCGGCUCACUGGUCCAUUACUGACGCUGAGACGCGAAAGCGUGGGGAGCGAACAGG
rnacentral:rRNA from 1 species